UCCUCAGUAGCUCAGUGGUGAGAGCGAAUGGCUGUUAACCAUUAGGUCGUUGGUUCAAAUCCAACCUGGGGAG
rnacentral:tRNA from 1 species